rnacentral:rRNA from 1 species
AUGGUGUCUGAGCCCGACCCCGACGUCUCCCUCCUGCCCCCCGCUCCGAGCCAUAGCCACAAACCCUGCCUCCGGGCAGUCAAGUCCACGGCCUUCAAGCGCGAGGAGCGCCACAAGCGCAAGGAGCAGAAGCGGGAGUUCAAGCGGCAGCGCAAGGAGCAGAAGCGGGAGCGCAAGGAGCAGCGCAAGGAGCAGAAGCGGGAGCGCCGCAAGCGCAAGGAGGAGAAACGGGAGCGCCGCAAGCGCAAGGAGGAGAAGCGGGAGCGCCGCAAGCACAAGGAGGAGAAGCGCGAGCGCAAGCGGCAGCGCAAGCGGGAGGACAGCCUCGCCCUAGCGCUCGCCCAGUGGGAGCCCCUCGGUGCCCCAGCUGGCCCGGCUGCCGCCUCCGCCCCCGGCGCGCCACCCGAAGACAGGCCCGGGCCGCGUGACCCGUCCUCGCCCGCGGGCGCCGCGCCCUCCGCCUCCUGGAUCUGGGGCCCUCCAGCGGAACCCUCGGCCGACAGGUCCUAG